CUAUUUGCAAGAAGCAGUUUGCUUUUGUGGCCUCUGACAAAAAAGAGGUCCUUUGAGUUGUGAAAAUGAAUCUAUUAGGCAAGAUGUAAUGGACCGUCAGUAGCACAGAGAAAUAUUAUGUAGGGAAGUUGAACAGAUAAACCGAAUUUUUUCAAUAAUGAAUAAUUAAAAAGAAUUGACCCAGCAUUUCCAUAAAGAUAGUAAAAGAAGAUAAAAAAUAAAAAUAUGUUUACUAGCAAAAGACUAUAAUCAGAAACAUAUUGUCAUUUUUUAGGUAAGAAGUGAAAUAAAGUUUCCCCCAUUAAUUAACAAUUGGUUAGUGAAACAAUCAUCUCUCUGGAAGAGGGUCAAGAAAUUUAAAUGCAGAAAUUCAGAGAAGUGGCUGGAAGAUACCAUGAGGGGAUAAAAUAAGAGAUGGCAUAAUUCAGGAAAAUUGUAUCCUCCUGCACCCCCCACUCCCGCCAAAUUACACAAAUAAAUACAAAAUUGAUAGCAGCCCAAGGGCAAAUCGACUCUGUGGCAAAGUAACACAUAGCAUAUUAAAUAAAAAUAGUAAGUACAAUGAAUCAGAAACAGAACUGUGAAAAACCAGAAGAAAAAAGGAGCAAAACAAGAAGACUUUUGGUGUGAUGGAACUGCUGUGUAUGGUAUUAUGAUAGUGGAUGCACAGUUCUAUGCAUCUGUUAAAACAAAAAUAUAAACUGCAAAAGUAAAUUUUACUAUCAACAGUAUUGAAAAAUCAACCACAAUUUAAGGAAAUCCAAGAUGAAAUACAGACUGUAACAACUGUAUCUGAAUAUUAAAGGUGUUGGAUCUGAUAAUGAAGGCACUAAAAAAACUUUGUAAAACUGUGUUUUAACCAUAUAAUCUAAGACUAAAAUAAAAAAGAACUGUAAACAAACACUGUAUUCCAGUUGGUAAAUUUAUGUCUCACAAGGGUAUUGAUUUGCAAUUCUGCAACUACUUUACCUGUAUUCUAGCUUUGGACAUAAAUAUAAAUGUAUUAUUGAUAAUGAGAGCCAGGUGUCUGUCUGAGAAAUAAAGAGAGGUUAAUGCUACAGUGAACUCUGUGUUGCUGGACUGGAAUCAGAGAGUGUGAACUCAUAUUUCUGUUAAUGCAUUCCAGGUAGAGAGCUAAGUAAUAAGUAUAGAUAUGUGUGUAUAAAUGGAUUAGUGUAUAUAUAUAUAUAUAUAUAUGUCCUAAUUCUCUCAGCUGACAGGGCCUCAAAACUGACACCUCCAUAGCAAGGGGCACACCUGGCAACUGAAUCUUAAUUUCAAAACAUCCUUCUCCAACCAAAGAAGCUAGGGCUUUUUGAAGAAAUACCUGCAUCUAGACCUGGUGCCAAAAAAAAAAAAAGUGUAAAAUGAGUCUUAGAGCAUUUUGUGUUGCCAGAAAGAAAAAGGAGGAAUAAACAAACCAAACAAAAACAAAAAACCUAGAAGGCUUAUGAAAAGAACACAGGAAUGAACCGUAAAUAGCUUCAAUCAUCAAAGUCAGAAGAAUUUGUGCAACAAAACAAAAACUGAGACUAUUGAUUGAAAUACCUUAAGUAAAAUGAAUACUUAGUUUAUAGUGAUAUAAUGAUUGAAUGAAUAAAUUCAUGGGAGGAGGGAACAUUGUACAUUACAGAGUGAUUCCAAUUAAUAAGUACAGAAGGAAUAAGGAAAAUAGGAAAUAACUAUUAGAAUAUUAUCGUAAUAUUUAUUGCAGGCAAUAUUCACUGAGGAAUGCUAGAAUUAGUGGUAGAUUCCUUAAAGUGAAACAGGAUAUAUGCAUAGCCUCAAAAUAUCUUUGCCCAAAUAGUGAUUAUUUACGGUAGUUGUUUUAAUAUAUAUCCUUAAAUAAUUGAAUAAUCCUCUCUCCAGGAAUUGGAACUUAAUUCUUUCCAUGAGAGUUUUAACAGCUGCACUGCUUUGGGAGAAUUUGGCUUCAACAUUUCUUCUAGGGCAACUCUGAAUACAGCAGAUGUGAAAUUAUCAUGUUUCCAGCUCGCACCCUCAUGCUGAGAUGACCCACUCAUGAAACAACCUGAAGCCUUUUCCCCCAGUUUCAGAGAAAGAAAGAGACCCACCAUUUGAGCAUAGCGGUGAACUGAAGGAGAGUGCAAUGACACAACCACCACCAAGGAAUGCAGUGGAUACUGAUUAUAAAGGAUUUGGACAACUGUAAGGAAAACUGGAAAACAAUAUGGAGGAAAAUUUGGACACACUCUUACAGAAGAAGAUGAUGGUAAGACACACUGGGAUAAAAUGGCCGUGGAACAGAUGGAGGCAGAGAUUGGGGUUAUGCUGUGACAAACCAAGUUCUGCUAGAAACUGGAAGAGGCAAAGAAGGAUCUUCACCAAAGAAUUCAGAGGAAGUACAGCACUACCAGCAUUUUGCUUCUGGACGUCUGGCCUCCGGAACUAUGAGAAUAAGUUUCUGUUAUUUUCUGUUAUUUUAAGCCACAAAGUCUGUGGUUCUUUGUUCCGGCAGCCCUAAUAACUAAUACAAAUAUAUUUACAUUUAAAGAAAUGCAGGGAAGGAAGUGUAGGAUUUUCAUGUACUCCACCCUCAGUUUCCCAUAUUGUUAACAAUUUACAUUUGUAUGGGACACAUGUCACAGUUACUAGCCAGGAUCCAUACUUUAUUCAGAUUUCACAGUUUUUACCUUAAGUAUCCUUUCUAUAUUUGUAGAUCUCAUCUAGAAUACCUCAUUACAUUUAGUCAUCAUGUCAUUUUAAGAUACUGUAGAUUGUGAUAGGUUUUCAGGUUUUCCUUGUUUUUGAUGACCUUGACAGUUUUAAGGACUACCAGCCAAAUAUUUUUUAGAAUAUUUUUCAUUUGAUUUUGCCUAUUUUUUUUCUUAUAUUAGACUGUGAUAUAGGUUUGGAAGAGGAAGAUUAGAGGUAAGAUGCCAUUCUUGUCAAAUCAUGCCAAGAGUUUGUACUAUAAACAUUACCUGUCACUGUUGAGAUUAAACCUUGGUCACCUGGCUGAAGUAGUUUGUCAGUUUUCUCCACUGUGAAGUUACUCUUUCUGCUUCCCUUUUCCACACUGUACUAUUUAAAAGGAAGUCACUAUACAUAGUCCUCUGUUAAGAAGUAAGGAGUUAGGCUCAACUUCUUUGAGGCAAGGUUUGCUACCAAAACUAUUUUGAAUUACCUUACACAGGAAAAUCGGAUUUAUUUAUAGUUGUUCAAAAUUGGACACAUUCAAGAUAUCCUUCCAUAGGUGAAUGGAUAAACUGUUACAGCCAUACAAUGAAAUAUUAUUCAACCAUGUAAAGAAAUAAGCUAUCAUGCCACAAAAAGACAUAGUGGAUCCUUAAACACAUAUUAUCACAUAAGAGAAACCAGUCUAAAAAUAUUGGAUACUGUAUGAUUCCAAUUACAUGACAUUCUUGAAUUGGAAAACUGCAGAGGCAGUAAGAAGAUUAGUGGUUUUCAAGGGUUAAGGGGCAUGGAGGAAGGGAUGAACAGAUAGAGCCCAGAGAGUGAUAAAGGUGGUAAAAUUAUGCUGUAGGAUACUGAGUAGACCGUGCAUGUAAUUGUGGAUACAUGACAUUAUUGUGAAAACCUAUAGAACAAUACCAUACAAAGAGCAAACCCUAAUGUAAACUAUGGCUUUACUUAAUAAUAAUAUUGGUUCAUCAAUUGUAACAAAUGUACCAUCAUCAGUGUAAGAUGUUAAUAAUAGGGAAAGUUGUAUGUUGUGGCUGGGGAGAAAGAAAAGAAGUAUACAGGUACUCUCUGAAUGUUCUGCUAAAAUUUCUUGUAAAACAAUAAAAAAUAAUAAAUAUCAAAAAAUAAAAAUAUAAUAACUAUUUUUAAAUUAUCUAUAUUAUUAUAUAUA
rnacentral:lncRNA from 1 species